AUCCGGUUCACUUUAACACUGAGGCGUGAUGACGAGGCACUACGGUGCUGAAGCAACAAAUGCCCUGCUUCCAGGAAAAGCCUCUAAGCAUCAGGUAACAUCAAAUCGUACCCCAAACCGACACAGGUGGUCAGGUAGAGAAUACCAAGGCGCUUGAGAGAACUCGGGUGAAGGAACUAGGCAAAAUGGUGCCGUAACUUCGGGAGAAGGCACGCUGACACGUAGGUGAAGUGAUUUACUCAUGGAGCUGAAGUCAGUCGAAGAUACCAGCUGGCUGCAACUGUUUAUUAAAAACACAGCACUGUGCAAACACGAAAGUGGACGUAUACGGUGUGACGCCUGCCCGGUGCCGGAAGGUUAAUUGAUGGGGUCAGCGCAAGCGAAGCUCCUGAUCGAAGCCCCGGUAAACGGCGGCCGUAACUAUAACGGUCCUAAGGUAGCGAAAUUCCUUGUCGGGUAAGUUCCGACCUGCACGAAUGGCGUAAUGAUGGCCAGGCUGUCUCCACCCGAGACUCAGUGAAAUUGAACUCGCUGUGAAGAUGCAGUGUACCCGCGGCAAGACGGAAAGACCCCGUGAACCUUUACUAUAGCUUGACACUGAACAUUGAGCCUUGAUGUGUAGGAUAGGUGGGAGGCUUUGAAGUGUGGACGCCAGUCUGCAUGGAGCCGGCCUUGAAAUACCACCCUUUAAUGUUUGAUGUUCUAACGUGGACCCGUGAUCCGGGUUGCGGACAGUGUCUGGUGGGUAGUUUGACUGGGGCGGUCUCCUCCUAAAGAGUAACGGAGGAGCACGAAGGUUGGCUAAUCCUGGUCGGACAUCAGGAGGUUAGUGCAAUGGCAUAAGCCAGCUUGACUGCGAGCGUGACGGCGCGAGCAGGUGCGAAAGCAGGUCAUAGUGAUCCGGUGGUUCUGAAUGGAAGGGCCAUCGCUCAACGGAUAAAAGGUACUCCGGGGAUAACAGGCUGAUACCGCCCAAGAGUUCAUAUCGACGGCGGUGUUUGGCACCUCGAUGUCGGCUCAUCACAUCCUGGGGCUGAAGUAGGUCCCAAGGGUAUGGCUGUUCGCCAUUUAAAGUGGUACGCGAGCUGGGUUUAGAACGUCGUGAGACAGUUCGGUCCCUAUCUGCCGUGGGCGCUGGAGAACUGAGGGGGGCUGCUCCUAGUACGAGAGGACCGGAGUGGACGCAUCACUGGUGUUCGGGUUGUCAUGCCAAUGGCACUGCCCGGUAGCUAAAUGCGGAAGAGAUAAGUGCUGAAAGCAUCUAAGCACGAAACUUGCCCCGAGAUGAGUUCUCCCUGAGACUUAGAGUCUCCUGAAGGAACGUUGAAGACGACGACGUUGAUAGGCCGGGUGUGUAAGCGCAGCGAUGCGUUGAGCUAACCGGUACUAAUGAACCGUGAGGCUUAACCUUACA
rnacentral:rRNA from 1 species